rnacentral:rRNA from 1 species
UACGAAGGGGGCUAGCGCUGCUCGGAAUCACUGGGCGUAAAGCGCACGUAGGCGGCUUUUUAAGUCAGGGGUGAAAUCCUGGAGCUCAACUCCAGAACUGCCUUUGAUACUGAAAAGCUUGAGUCCGGGAGAGGUGAGUGGAACUGCGAGUGUAGAGGUGAAAUUCGUAGAUAUUCGCAAGAACACCAGUGGCGAAGGCGGCUCACUGGCCCGGUACUGACGCUGAGGUGCGAAAGCGUGGGGAGCAAACAGG